AGUGAACGCUGGCGGUAGGCCUAACACAUGCAAGUCGAACGGCAGCCCAGUAAGAGCUUGCUCUUACGGGUGGCGAGUGGCGGACGGGUGAGGAAUACAUCGGAAUCUACUUUUUCGUGGGGGAUAACGUAGGGAAACUUACGCUAAUACCGCAUACGACCUCCGGGUGAAAGCAGGGGAUCUUCGGACCUUGCGCGAUUGAAUGAGCCGAUGUCGGAUUAGCUAGUUGGCGGGGUAAAGGCCCACCAAGGCGACGAUCCGUAGCUGGUCUGAGAGGAUGAGCAGCCACACUGGAACUGAGACACGGUCCAGACUCCUACGGGAGGCAGCAGUGGGGAAUAUUGGACAAUGGGCGCAAGCCUGAUCCAGCCAUACCGCGUGGGGGAAGAAGGCCUUCGGGUUCUAAAGCCCUUUUGUUGGGAAAGAAAAGCAGCAGGUUAAUACCCCGCUGUUCUGACGGUACCCAAAGAAUAAGCACCGGCUAAGUUCGUG
rnacentral:rRNA from 1 species